rnacentral:rRNA from 1 species
AUAGCUUUAGGGCUAGCCUCAAGGUGAGAGAUACGGAGGUAGAGCACUGAAUGUCCUAGGGGGUAUUGCACCUACCGAAGACUAUCAAACUCCGAAUGCCGUCAUCUUAUACUUGGGAGUCAGACUGUGGGUGAUAAGAUUCAUAGUCGAAAGGGCAACAGCCCAGAUCGUCAGCUAAGGUCCCUAAAUGUAAGUUAAGUGGUAAAGGAUGUGGGAUUGCACAGACAACCAGGAUGUUGGCUUAGAAGCAGCCACUCAUUCAAAGAGUGCGUAAUAGCUCACUGGUCGAGUGAUCCUGCGCCGAAGAUUUCCGGGGCUAAAACUUACUACCGAAGCUACGGCAUCAGUAAUGAUGGGUAGGGGAGCUUCCCAUACGGGUUGAAGCAUGACCGGAAGGACAUGUGGACAGUAUGGGAGUGAGAAUGUUGGCAUGAGUAGCGAAAUGUGGGUGAAAAUCCCACAGGCCGUAACCCCAAGGUUUCCAGGGGAAGGUUCGUCCA